UACUCUUAAUCUCUUUAGUUAUGCAAUUUACUUUAUUAUUCGUGAUUAUGUCUUUGAGUAUGUUGUCUGAGUAGUGACUUAGAGUUCUUAAGGAUGGGAUAAAAUUGUUGUGGGAUCCGUAGUCUUUUAGAUGGUUAAGUGUUAGAAUUGAUUGAAUCCCUUCUGGACUAGUUGUGUUUUCUGCUUAUUUCUGUCUGAUCAACUGGAAUU
rnacentral:lncRNA from 1 species